GAGAAGCACUCACUGACAACCUACUAUUGCCUGGUGAACACUAGGAGUUGUGCCCACCUUCUCCUCUCAGAGCGUGCACCAGGUGAGAAACCAGGAAUGGUGGCCAGAAGAUGGAGAAAAACUGCUUGCCAACCAGGACCCUGAAUUCGCCUUGCCUUCAAACUCUCUGUGGCUGAAGAGCUAAGCAUUCAUGUUUCCUGAAGGAACCAUCAUCUGUGAAUUGUGGUGGGAGCCAGACGGGGGCAGCCUUGCAGCAAAAUGCCUGGAGGCUGCACUAAUGUCCUCCCCUGACAAGUUAGAUGGCAGCUAAUUUAUACAUCGCCUCCCAUUAGUUUGGGGAAAAAUAUAGCUACCAAUAAGGAA